rnacentral:rRNA from 1 species
GGACUCGCACAAGCGGUGGAGCAUGCGGUUUAAUUCGAUGCAACGCGAAGAACCUUACCAGGUCUUGACAUCCCGUUGACCGGGCUAGAGAUAGUCCUUCCCUUCGGGGCAACGGAGACAGGUGGUGCAUGGUUGUCGUCAGCUCGUGUCGUGAGAUGUUGGGUUAAGUCCCACAACGAGCGCAACCCUUAUCAUUAGUUGCUAACAUUAAGUUGAGAACUCUAAUGAGACCGCCGGUGAUAAACCGGAUGAAGGUGGGGAUGACGUCAAAUCAUCAUGCCCCUUAUGACCUGGGCUACACGCGUGCUACAAUGGCUAGUACAAAGAGUCGCAAUACCGUGAGGUGGAGCUAAUCUCAUAAAACUAGUCUCAGUUCGGAUUGUAGUCUGCAACUCGACUACAUGAAGUUGGAAUCGCUAGUAAUCGCAAAUCAGCAUGUUGCGGUGAAUACGUUCUCGAGUCUU